rnacentral:rRNA from 1 species
GAUGAACGCUGGCGGCGUGCCUAAUACAUGCAAGUCGAGCGAACAGAUGAGGAGCUUGCUCCUCUGACGUUAGCGGCGGACGGGUGAGUAACACGUGGAUAACCUACCUAUAAGACUGGGAUAACUUCGGGAAACCGGAGCUAAUACCGGAUAAUAUAUUGAACCGCAUGGUUCAAUAGUGAAAGACGGUUUUGCUGUCACUUAUAGAUGGAUCCGCGCCGCAUUAGCUAGUUGGUAAGGUAACGGCUUACCAAGGCAACGAUGUGUAGCCGACCUGAGAGGGUGGUCGGCCACACUGGAACUGAGACACGGUCCAGACUACUACGGGAGGCAGCAGUAGGGAAUCUUCCGCAAUGGGCGAAAGCUUGACGGAGCAACGCCGCGUGAGUGAUGAAGGUCUUCGGAUCGUAAAACUCUGUUAUUAGGGAAGAACAAAUGUGUAAGUAACUAUGCACGUCUUGACGGUACCUAAUCAGAAAGCCACGGCUAACUACGUG